rnacentral:rRNA from 1 species
UCAGAACGAACGCUGGNGGCAUGCCUAAUACAUGCAAGUCGAACGAGAUCUUCGGAUCUAGUGGCGCACGGGUGCGUAACGCGUGGGAAUCUGCCCUUGGGUUCGGAAUAACAGUUGGAAACGANUGCUAAUACCGGANGAUGAGGUAAGUCCAAAGAUUUAUCGCCCAGGGAUGAGCCCGNGUAGGAUUAGCUAGUUGGUGGGGUAAAGGCCUACCAAGGCGACGAUCCUUAGNUGGUCUGAGAGGAUGAUCAGCCACANUGGGACUGAGACACGGCCCAGACUCCUACGGGAGGCAGCAGUAGGGAAUAUUGGACAAUGGGGGCAACCNUGAUCCAGCAAUGCCGCGUGAGUGAUGAAGGCCUUAGGGUUGUAAAGCUCUUUUACCCGAGAUGAUAAUGACAGUAUCGGGAGAAUAAGCUCCGGCUG